GGGGGUGUUUGCACGGCUGGUGCCGGCCCUGGUCUUCAAAACCUGUGGACCCCUUGAAUAGAGGGGUCAGAGGGUUCGAUUCCCUUACACUCCCGC
rnacentral:tRNA from 1 species